UCCAGGAAAGACCAGUCUAUGUCAGGAGCAAGUUGCGGUUCUACUGCAGCCCCUACUUCAAAAGACACUCCCCUCACCUCCUUGUGAGGAUGAAGAGAAGGGCGGGCAUUAAAUCUGCAUUAAGGCAGAAGAGGAGCCAGGCAGAAGCUCUGGGAUCCCCUCCAGCACUUACAGGCACCGAGCAACAAGAUCAGGCAUCUACAAAUGAGGAUAACGAAGAGAUGCCAAAGAGCCAAGAAGUUGACAGUCCUGCCACCCAAGUCAGGAGUGACUCUGCUCCACCAGGAAUUCCUGUGACAGUUCCGGAGCCCACCGUGGUGAGUGACGACGCUCCAAUAACCCAGCCAGCCGUCAGGCAGCCCGAGAGCAGCCAGGCCCACGUUACUCAGUUGGGGGAUGUCGCUGCACCUGCAGAGCUUCCCUGCGUCUUCUUCACUGUACCUUCCACCCAGAUUGAUUCCUACUGGCAUGUGGUGGGUGUCCCUGCGACGCCCCCCAGGAUUCUCAACGUGCACACCACACAGUUUCCUUUGCCUGGACUGCUGCCUUUCUCUCAUCACUUGGUGGCUCUGCCUGUCAUGGCUGCUGGGCCUGCUGCCUCCGUCUCUGCGUUGCCUCACCCUCCAACACCAGUCCAUUUCUGUCCCAACUGCCAUUGUGUGUUAGAAUUCAUGCCAGGCACUGGUGGGAUCCAGGGGUACCCAGACCAUGCAGACUAGCACGGGUAAGGAAAGAAUUUGGUGACAACAUGUCCUGGUCAAUAAACAGGAUCAGAAAAUGAGUCAUUUUUUGUCUGCACGAAA